ensembl:lncRNA novel transcript
AUUGUUGACCAGAUUGGCUGUGGGGAGGUCAGGGUCAUCAGUGCAGCAAGUGGUAAGGUUGGGUUGUCAGUACAGCUGACCUCACGCAAUUGGUUGAAGCCUCAGAGUUAUUGAAAUCCCAGGCCAAAGAACUCAAAGAUGCCCAUCAGCAGCAAAAGCUGGCCCUGCAGGACUUCUUGGAGCUCUGUGAGCUGGUAGCAGAGCUCUGCUCCCAGAAGCAGAAGGUGUGGGACAAGGAGGGGGAGAUGGAGGUGGCCAUGCAGAAAGUCAACACGAUGUGGCAGGAGAGCUGAAGAUCCAAGAAGCUCAGAAAGAGGAAGCUAUUUAUAUGGUUCAGUGAUGGUAUUGAUUGGACUUUUUAAAAUGUUUCAUUAUUACACUUUAAGUUCUGGGGUACUUUGUAUGACCUUAAUAAAACAUCUUUGAGGCCG